rnacentral:rRNA from 1 species
UACAGAGGGUGCAAGCGUUGUUCGGAAUUACUGGGCGUAAAGCGCGUGUAGGCGGCUUAUUAAGUCGGACGUGAAAUCCCUUGGCUCAACCAAGGAACUGCGUCCGAUACUGUUAAGCUUGAGUAUCGGAGGGGGUGGCGGAAUUCCUGGUGUAGAGGUGAAAUUCGUAGAUAUCAGGAGGAACACCUGUGGCGAAGGCGGCCACCUGGAAGAUAACUGACGCUGAGACGCGAAAGCGUGGGGAGCAAACAGG